rnacentral:lncRNA from 1 species
UACUUUGAGCUAACUUAGAUAAUACCUUGCUUGACUUCAGUAUCAUUUGAAGUUGGUCACACUGUGCUUCAUUUUUCAAAUACUUUCUUCACUGGAUGCCAUAGCAUCCUAGUUUUCCUCUUACCCCCGUUGAUUCUUGUAUAUAUAUUAGUUGUCAAUGGAUAUUUCAUUUAUUUAUAUGUGGUGCUGAGGAUUAAACCCAGGCAAGUGCUCUACCACUGAGCUACUACUCCACACCCCACCGCUCUGCCCCUGUUGAUUCUUAAUUCCUAAAUGUUGAAAUAUCCAGAGCUUAGGCUUUGUUACCUUUUCUUUAACUGCACUUAGUACUUAAGCUCAUCACACAGUUUUUAACACCCUGUGUGUGUUCUCUCCAAUAUUAACCUCUUCUGGGCUCCAAAUGUAAAUAAAUCAGCCUCCUACUUGACAUCUGUGUCAUAUAUGUAAUAAUUCAAUUUGAGGGAUCAAAGCAGGACUCUUGUCUUUUUACCCUCAAACUUGUAUCUCUUCCAUUCUUUUCUGUUUAAUAAAUGUUACCCAGGAGUCAAGUUUUAGUUCCUUUCUCAUCCAUUUUAUAUCCAUCAAUAAUUCCUGAUGAGUCUACCUGAUUCUAUCUGCUUACCACAUUUCCUGCUGCUAUGGCUAAGCAAUCAGCCAUCAUCUCACCUGAACUAUUACAGUAGCCUCCUCUUGGUCUCCCUGCCCCAUUCAUGCUCCCCUUCAAUCUUCAACAUAUAGUGUAUUUUUUUUAAUUAGUUGCACAUAAUAGUAGAAUUCAUCUCACUCUGGAUUUAUAUAUUUGUUAAUGGCUAUGUAACUAACCAUCAUUGAAUGCUUACAGCGUCCUAGACACUGUUUUAAGUGUUUUUCAAGUGUUAUUUUAUUUCAGAACUAUCUGAGACAGAUACUAAUAUUAUCCCCAUGGAGAAACAGGCUUGGAACAAUUCAGUAACUUUCCCAGCAUGAUGAAGAAAGUGACAGAGCAGGUCACACCCAGGCAGAAUGGGUCCAGAGUACUCCCCUCACAUCCUGCAGGUGGCUUGACUUACUUUUGGUCUCAAAACAGACUUAGUUCAUUCCACAAUGAAUGGGGGAUGCUCAUCUCUUUGUCCCCAUAUCUCUAACAGUGUCUAGGACAGCACAGAGGCUUAUUGAAUAUUCAUUGAAUGAAUCUGUUUUCACAAGUGAGCGGGUUAGGAAAAGCUUGCUUAAAGAAGUGGCUUUGGACUGAUCUUAAAGGGAAAGAAAAUAAAGUGACAGAACCACAUGAACAAAAGUUCAGAGGGCAGGUUGUCUAGCCGGGCUGGCACUUAAGUCACUCAUAGGAGAAGGGGGAAUUUGAUAGAAAAGAUUGAUUCUAACAAGAUUAUAGAAAACCUUGACUAGCAGGUUAGGGAGAUGAAAUCUUAUUCAAUAUAUAGGAAGAGCUGCUGAACAUUCAUAGUAGUUAUAUCAGAGCAAUCAUUCAGGGUGCCAAGUGGUGGCAGUGUAUGGGGAGGUUUGGAACAAGCUUAGUCUAGGAGACAAUUGAGAGAAAGACCCUGUAAUUGACAAUCCAGUGGUAGCAUAGCAGCAGAAUGCUUUUUAAAAAAAAAAAAAACUAGAACUUAACUCAAACAUUCAGGAAAAUGGCAAAGAGAAGCUUCUCAGGAGCAGGACAGCCUGGUCAAAAGUUGGUCUGCCAGACCCCCUUGCCUGCUAUUAC